GGCUCACAAAACAUUGCUCUGGCAGAAUUUCAGUAGUUAGUCUAUUAAUCUUUUCUGCUUCAUAUAUCGACAAUUACAUUUUCCUUAACUUAGAGCCACAAACAUCAAUGUAUAGAAACUGAAGCAUGUAAGCUAACCUGAGGGACUGUGUGUCCAAGAAUUUCACGCAAUGGCUUUGUCUCUGCCAGUGGAUGCUCUAUAGGCAGCUCGUAGACAAUUUGGUUCAACACCUGAUAGGAUUUGCAUCAACAAUAUUAGUGGUCAUCUUGCUUCAGCCUCACAUAAAGUUUGAAAGACCAUAACUGAUGAUGAUAGUGGGUAAACAGGACAAAAUUAUCCUCUCACAAGAAAACGACGUGUCACACUUCUAUGCUACUUUUCUUUAUUAUAUAUGUCAAUGGGGAAAUUUAAACAUACAGUUCCCAUUAUCUAAAUUUCCUGUUCACAUGUUAGUGAAAAAAGUAGUUAAUCAAGUCCAGGACAAACAUGUAGUCUAAGGAUACUCGUCAACUGCUUAUCAAAUGUUCAAGGUAAUCAAAGUGAAUAUCAUUCAGCCGAAUAUAGAGAUAGUGGCCAAUUUCAGGGGCAUAUCCUUAGUGAUGCCUGCUCCCCAUACUGCAUGCGUAACUUACUACACAUUGAAUUAUACAUUGAAUAGUAGCAGCAAACAACAACAGAACAAUCUCAAUCUUGGAUAACCAUUUAGCUAUAAUUUAUAGAUACAGGUCUUGUAAGUGUCGUUUCCAGCAUUAUGAAAACCUAGCAAAUCACUGGGUAUCCUCGAUUUGAGAAGAGCAAACUGAGAAAGUCUAAUGCAAUAUAAUGCAUAUAAGUAUAUGUGCAAUUGUGAUUCAAUUGAUAAACAUCCAGUAAGAUAAUAGAAUCAAACAGCAGUCCCAUGUGAAAAGACUGUAUGCAAGUAUAGAAGAAACAUAUGAUUAUUAUCUUAUAAUCAGGGCAGCCACUAAGC
rnacentral:lncRNA from 1 species